rnacentral:rRNA from 1 species
UUCCUUCGGGACACGGGAUACAGGUGGUGCAUGGUUGUCGUCAGCUCGUGUCGUGAGAUGUUGGGUUAAGUCCCGCAACGAGCGCAACCCUUAUUGCUAGUUGCCAUCAUUAAGUUGGGCACUCUAACGAGACUGCC